UAGAUUGAAGCCAGACUAGGGUAUUUAGCUGUUAAUUAAAUUUUCGUGGGUUUGAAUCCUACCAAUCUAG
rnacentral:tRNA from 1 species